rnacentral:rRNA from 1 species
UGGGGAAUAUUGGACAAUGGGCGCAAGCCUGAUCCAGCCAUGUCGCGUGAGUGAUGAAGGUCCUAGGGUUGUAAAGCUCUUUCACCGGUGAAGAUAAUGACGGUAACCGGAGAAGAAGCCCCGGCUCACUUCGUGCCAGCAGCCGCGGUAAUACGAAGGGGGCUAGCGUUGUUCGGAUUUACUGGGCGUAAAGCGCACGUAGGCGGACUAUUAAGUCAGGGGUGAAAUCCCGGGGCUCAACCCCGGAACUGCCUUUGAUACUGGUAGUCUUGAGUUCGAGUGAGGUGAGUGGAAUUCCGAGUGUAAAGGUGAAAUUCGUAGAUAUUCGGAGGAACACCAGUGGCGAAGGCGGCUCACUGGCUCGAUACUGACGCUGAGGUGCGAAAGCGUGGGGAGCAAACAGG